AGAUUUCGGUACAACACCGGCCCCUGCUAUAAACUAUCCUCAAGUUGGAGAAACAGGAAUCUUCGAAGUGGUUUGAGAAGGGUCGCGGGGGUGCUGGAGCCUAUCUCAACUGCAUUCGGGCGGAAGGCGGGGUACACCCUGGACAAGUCGCCAAAUCCCUCAG